rnacentral:rRNA from 1 species
UACGAAGGGUGCAAGCGUUACUCGGAAUUGCUGGGCGUAAAGCGUGCGUAGGCGGUUUGUUAAGUCUGCUGUGAAAGCCCCGGGCUCAACCUGGGAACGGCAGUGGAUACUGGCAAGCUAGAGUGUGUCAGAGGAUGGUGGAAUUCCCGGUGUAGCGGUGAAAUGCGUAGAGAUCGGGAGGAACAUCAGUGGCGAAGGGGGCCAACUGGGAAAACACUGACGCUGAGGCACGAAAGCGUGGGGAGCAAACAGG